rnacentral:tRNA from 1 species
GACUCUUUGGCGCUGUGGUCAAAGUUGCAGUUUGGUACCCCGUAGACCCGGGUUCGAUGCCCGGUGGGGUGC